AGCGAACGCUGGCGGCAGGCCUAACACAUGCAAGUCGAACGAGGUCUUCGGACCUAGUGGCGGACGGGUGAGUAACACGUGGGAACGUGCCCUUUGGUACGGAAUAACUCAGGGAAACUUGAGCUAAUACCGUAUGUGCCCUUCGGGGGAAAGAUUUAUCGCCAUUGGAGCGGCCCGCGUCUGAUUAGCUAGUUGGUGAGGUAACGGCUCACCAAGGCGACGAUCAGUAGCUGGUCUGAGAGGAUGACCAGCCACAUUGGGACUGAGACACGGCCCAAACUCCUACGGGAGGCAGCAGUGGGGAAUCUUACGCAAUGGGCGAAAGCCUGACGCAGCCAUGCCGCGUGGAUGAUGAAGGUCUUAGGAUUGUAAAAUCCUUUCACCGGUGAAGAUAAUGACUGUAGCCGGAGAAGAAGCCCCGGCUAACUUCGUGCCAGCCGCCGCGGUAAAAC
rnacentral:rRNA from 1 species